GGGGAUGGAGGUUGAUCUAGUGGGCACAUAGCAACCAGGUGGCAGUAGGGAUGGGGGAAAAGGGGUUGCAGGAGCAACAGGAGCUACAGAAAAGGACUGGGGUGGCCAUGGGGACGGGGUGGCAGAGGAGGGUGGGCACUUGCGAGGAGGCUGAGGAGGACUGGGUGCGCUACGCUGCGGCAGCUCCGGGCCUCCUCCUCCGGGCUGUGGCGAUCACAUGGACUGAGAUUCUCGAUGGCACGUGGUCACGUUUUGCAGGCCCUCUUGGUAGCUUGUGGCUGCCCCUGAACCUCUUAGGUUCAGAGGUUUGUCACCCCCUCUGCAAAGAGUAGAGCAGGUCCAUCAGUGCCUGUGCAGCUGGUAACCCAGAUUCCUUAAGGAGCACAAGGAAGGAAGGAGGUGGAAAGCAGAAGAAUACCUUCUAGGAAGGAAAUAAGGGGGUUGUCCAGCUGAAUCACACUUGGAUCCCUAUGUACCACAACAGGGGAUUCAGCCCGAGAGGAGGACCGAAGCAGCUGGAAGACCAGGGAGCCUGGGGAAACGCUGUCGUCUCGCGGCAUCAGAGGCCCACGGCUCUUGUGUUACCUCGCUGGGAGCGUGUGGACAUGAGGAAGGUGCCGCAGGCCCUGCGACGCGGUGGUGUUGGUGAGACCCAGUGCUACCUUGCAGUUUGGCGCUCCAAAAUGACUUUGCCGUGGGUCUGAUCACCACCGUGGGUCCCCAGGGGUUAAACCAGCUUUUCCAGGAGGAGAAAGCAAUAGUCCAGGUUCAUUCACCCCUGGGGCAAAGUGCUUGGAAGGGGUCAGGCUGAAGCGAGCUGCGUCAGAGCAUGGUCUGGUCCUUGUGGCCGUGUUCAUCUCUGCCAAGAAAGGCUGUGUGUGAUUUUUGCUACUGACACCCUUUUCUCAGGACUGUCUCACCGCCCUGCCAACAAAGAGGACUUUCUAUAAGAUACUCUUUCUAAGUGAGUUCAAAAACCUCUGUAGGAGGGUAAUGCCAGCUUUAAAUGCUGCUGCAGCUAGUUUUUUUGCAAACAUGGCUCUUUCGGCUGUGACCAGUGCAAUGAUUCUGCUCAGCAUGUUUUUCCACCUGCCUUCUUUUGCACCACCUCCUCCUAGAAAUUGGUCAGGAGGCUUUCCUGAAAGGUGCUUAAACAUUCCUUGGCUGCUUCAAAGAGGAGUCAGCCUCCAGCCUCACGCCCGCUAUUUGCCUCCUCUUUCAAACACAGGGUUUUCAAAGCAGCUGGGUGUUUGCAAAGAUGCACGUAGGAUUGCCUGCCUCAUCUGCACAUGAAAAAUCAGUUCGCUUCCACAUCCCAGCUCUAGACUCUCUUGUCCCAACUGGGAAGUGGGUAGAAAGCACAUGCCAAAGAGGGCCGUAAUUCCCAAAGGACACUGCAAAUGCCCUUUAUUUUUGGAAAAAAAUAAUGUAGAUCCCCCCCCCCCCAGUCACUUUCACUGUUUGCAACUGUUGUGGGGAGCCUGGAGGAAGCGGAGCGGCUGCGCAGGCAUUUGGAGGGAUUCUCAGAUUUGGAACAACGGUUUUGCUCUGAACCGCAAUGGGAGAGGAAAUCCUGAUUCUCCGUGGGCUCGACCUCACUCGCCGGAGAAAUGACAUCACCCGCACAAGCUCUUAUUGUCCCGAGGACAACGCGCUUCUUAGGGCUUGGGAAAACUUCUUUUCUCUUUCCUCCUUCAAUGAUUAACCGGGCAGAGAAGGGAGAUCUGCCUUCCCGGAGAGCCUGGGAUGUUUGGCUUGUGUCCUGGUUAAACCCAGGGGUGUCACGUGGGCUGAAGUUUAUGUGUAGAGGGUAAUUGAAAUGUCCUUCUGUAGCUAUCAAACAAGUAUUUGGUCUUAAUAAAUUGGCGGUGCUGGA